GAUGGACGCUGGCGGCGUGCCUAAUACAUGCAAGUCGAGCGAACGGACGAGAAGCUUGCUUCUCUGAUGUUAGCGGCGGACGGGUGAGUAACACGUGGAUAACCUACCUAUAAGACUGGGAUAACUUCGGGAAACCGUAGCUAAUACCGGAUAAUAUUUUGAACCGCAUGGUUCAAAAGUGAAAGACGGUCUUGCUGUCACUUAUAGAUGGAUCCGCGCUGCAUUAGCUAGUUGGUAAGGUAACGGCUUACCAAGGCAACGAUGCAUAGCCGACCUGAGAGGGUGAUCGGCCACACUGGAACUGAGACGCGGUCCAGACUCCUACGGGAGGCAGCAGUAGGGAAUCUUCCGCAAUGGGCGAAAGCCUGACGGAGCAACGCCGCGUGAGUGAUGAAGGUCUUCGGAUCGUAAAACUCUGUUAUUAGGGAAGAACAUAUGUGUAAGUAACUGUGCACAUCUUGACGGUACCUAAUCAGAAAGCCACGGCUAACUACGUGCCAGCAGCCGCGGUAAUACGUAGGUGGCAAGCGUUAUCCGGAAUUAUUGGGCGUAAAGCGCGCGUAGGCGGUUUUUUAAGUCUGAUGUGAAAGCCCACGGCUCAACCGUGGAGGGUCAUUGGAAACUGGAAAACUUGAGUGCAGAAGAGGAAAGUGGAAUUCCAUGUGUAGCGGUGAAAUGCGCAGAGAUAUGGAGGAACACCAGUGGCGAAGGCGACUUUCUGGUCUGUAACUGACGCUGAUGUGCGAAAGCGUGGGGAUCAAACAGGAUUAGAUACCCUGGUAGUCCACGCCGUAAACGAUGAGUGCUAAGUGUUAGGGGGUUUCCGCCCCUUAGUGCUGCAGCUAACGCAUUAAGCACUCCGCCUGGGGAGUACGACCGCAAGGUUGGAACUCAAAGGAAUUGACGGGGACCCGCACAAGCGGUGGAGCAUGUGGUUUAAUUCGAAGCAACGCGAAGAACCUUACCAAAUCUUGACAUCCUUUGACAACUCUAGAGAUAGAGCCUCCCCCUUCGGGGGACAAAGUGACAGGUGGUGCAUGGUUGUCGUCAGCUCGUGUCGUGAGAUGUUGGGUUAAGUCCCGCAACGAGCGCAACCCUUAAGCUUAGUUGCCAUCAUUAAGUUGGGCACUCUAAGUUGACUGCCGGUGACAAACCGGAGGAAGGUGGGGAUGACGUCAAAUCAUCAUGCCCCUUAUGAUUUGGGCUACACACGUGCUACAAUGGACAAUACAAAGGGCAGCGAAACCGCGAGGUCAAGCAAAUCCCAUAAAGUUGUUCUCAGUUCGGAUUGUAGUCUGCAACUCGACUACAUGAAGCUGGAAUCGCUAGUAAUCGUAGAUCAGCAUGCUACGGUGAAUACGUUCCCGGGUCU
rnacentral:rRNA from 1 species